rnacentral:lncRNA from 1 species
UUUGAUAUUGUAAUAAUGGUACCUAAAUGUAUAUGAUAGCAUAAGGAAAUCAAGUUUAAACAAAUUAGAAAGAAAUAAUUUUUAGAUGAAUCAUUUAGGGAGCUCCUAAUAUGGACCUCAAAUUAAAAGGACCACCAAUGAACCUCAAUAAGUGACAGGCUACAGCCGGUCAUUGUUCUUCAACACUCAAAACACAGCACAUGUUUCAUCUCUUUCAACUACCAUGAUCCAUUGCUUAUUCUUGAGAAAUAAGAGUAUACUUUAAAUCUCAGAUCUAUCUUUAUCUUAGGAGAACGAGAAGAUAAAUAUCACCUUCCUCUUUAGACUCUAGUCUCUAAGAUCAAAUUUUUCACUUCCACUUGUCCAUGUUUCUGUUGAGAAAUAUGAAACAAAAUCAGUUAUUUUAUCCUUGUACAACUCCAUUGGCCUAUGAUUAUUUUUGGAACAAGAUGUUCCAUUUUGGUUCCAGAAAUCACAGGUUCUUGAGUGCCACCGUUGGUACUCAAUAAUUUUAAGUUUGACAAUAAACAAAAAAUUCAACAAUUCAUUUUGGAAUUGAUAUGAUAUUUAUGAUAAACAUAAUACUCCUACUUUCUUUUCAUACUAAAAUAAUUCGCAUCAAAAUAAAAUCCGGACGAUAUUGUAGUUUGAGAGAAAGAUGGUGUUUAACAAAAAAAAAAAAAAAGAACUUAAAACAAUUAUUAAAAAUGAAUAGUCCAUGCCUGGACCCUUUUUAAAGGGGGCAUAUUAGAGGCCAGGCCACCCUAUCAUUUAAUAUGGAAAUAACCAAGAUCAUGAUGAACAAUGCAAAAAUCUAACUUGCAGAUCAACGCAAUAUAUAAGAGACCAAACUGCAAAAAUGAAAAAUCAAUCAAAUAAUUAUAUAAUUCGAGAGUUCAAACUUUAAAUAUUGAUGCAUUUUCGCCAAAAACUAAUUUCAAACACUUACCACUAUACAAAUGGUGAAUGACAUAAUAUAUAUUUGUUCCACAAUCAAACUUUUUGCAUUGUUUUAUUACUUCGAACUUUGAAAUUUGAUUUUGCACCCUUCAUGGUUUUGAUCAUUACAAAUAUUGAAAGAUGGUAAGAUAACACUUUCAUGUUAUUUUUAAAAUUUCCCAGACUAGUAAUAUCUUUAAGUUAAUGUCCAAACACUACCAUAUACAUGUAGAUACCAUUACAACAAUAUCAAAGGAAAUAAUUAAAUAAUCUAAUCUCCAGUGUAGUUGGAAAACGAAGGAUAUAUAUAUAUAUAUAAUAUCAUCACCAACAAGAAAAAAUGCUAAGCACUAUUACCUUUAAAUAUGUUGAAGGACAAGUUUGGUAUGAGGUCUUUGAGACACAGUACCUAGUACCUGACAAGGGUAAACCAAUGACUGGUUCUUUAGACAAACUACGAGAUUGGUGGAAAGACAGGGUAAAAUUUGAAAAAAACGGUGCAGCUGCAAUUGCAAAUCAUGAAGAUUAAAGAGGAAUUUCAACAAUGAAUGACAUGUUGAAUGGUGAACCAGUAACAGCUUACUCAUUGAAUGAACUACCUGACACAACAUUAGGUUCACUUUUAUCAUCAUGAAUGCAACAUUGCGAUCCACCACAAAGAAGAUAUCCUUUAGAAAGAGACAUUCCUCCACCAUGGUGGCCAUCAGGAAAAGAAUCAUGGUGGAAUGAAAUGGAAUUUAGCGAAGAUCUCGUCCCACCACCUUGCAUAAAGUCAUAUGAUUUGUAGAAAGGUUUGAAAAUUUUAUGUUUUGAAGGUUGUUAUCAAACACAUGUCUCCUAACAUUCAGAAAAUUAGGAUUAUUGGUAACAUAAGUCAAAAUACAAACUUCCAAACUUUUAUUCAAAUCACAUGAUUUUCUAUAAAGUGGUAGACGAAGAUCUUUGAUAAAUUUCAUUUCAUUCCACCAUGAUUCUUUUUCCAAUGGCCACCAUGGUGGAGGAAUGCCUCUUUCUAUACGAUAUUUUCUUUGUGGAGGAUCGUAAUGUUGCAUUUAUGAUGAAAAAAGUCAACCUAACGUUGUCUCAAGUAAUUAAUUUAAUGAGUAAGGUUUUAUUGGUUUAUCAUUCAGUAUAUCAUUCAUUGUAAAAUUAUUCGUUCUUCUUCAUUUUUUAUAAUUGCAUGGAUCAUUUUUGUCAAAUUUCACUUUGUCUUUCAAACAACCUCGUAGAUUGUUUGAAGAAUCAAUUAUUGGUUUUCCCUGGUCAAAUAAUGUCUCUAAAUUCUAACACCAAACUUGUUCCACAACUUAGUUAAAACUAACAAUGCUUAUGAUUUCUAUUAGUUGGUGAUGAAAUGAAAAAAAAUAUAAAUUGAUUUGCCAAAAGAAGCUUGUACCAUUCAUUGCUCAUAACAGCACCAGUGUCAUCAUUGCCACUUAGCUUCCCAACGCAGCAGAAGUAGCAAAUGUAUUCUCCAUCUUCAAAUUCAUCAUCUCAUAGGAACAACUUACAUUUCACUAUCUUCUACAAAAAGAAAAACAUAAUUAAUAGAAUAAGAACGACCAAACACAUAAAUUACGGUGUAAGAAAAGACACAUGAUAUCCACCCUCCAGUUAAUGCAUCUCAAGAGUUUGUGGUUCAUAUUUUCAAUGGUGGUACAUCCUCAUACGUACUCUACAUCCACACAAAGGAAGCUUGUCUUGCCUAGAUGUCCCACUCAAAGAUCAAAUUCUACUUGUUAAAUUUUUUAAGAUGAGUUCAAUGGGUAUAACGAUUAAAAAUGAAGAAAUGAAAUUGUGGUG